CUUGGGAUGCACCAAACCAAGGCCAUGGACAGAGAGACUAUCCAUGACAAUGUCCGGUUGGUUGCCUAAUAUACCAGGAGACUGAACUGGAUAUGCCAAUGCAGUGUCAUAAUGCUCCAUACCAGCAGCUGCUGGUUUUACUCCACCCCAGUAACCAGCUAAAGCAUGCCAUACAUAUACAAACUUCACAUUGUGACAUUUCUUGGCAUCUUCCACAACAUGCUUUAGUCCUCUGGCCUCCUCAGUAUUUUCACCAUUCUUCUGAAAUUUUGCAUUCUCCUUUAUUCCAGUGAGCCUUCUUGCAAAUUGUGCUCCUUCUUGCACAACAGCAUUAGUAUCUUCCUUGGGCUUGUUUUCAAUCUGUUGCCAACCAUCAUCUAUGAUCAAAAAUCGUGGAGGAGUCCCUCCCUCUGAUAGGCUUUUAAGGCCUUCCUCAACACCCUCAGCUGUGACAUCAGUGUAAAAUGCAUCCCAAGUGCACCAGCCAAACCAGUCAAGGAAAGACGGCAACUUUUUCUUCUCUCGAUGAAGAAAAGUUUGCAUGUGUUUUUCCAAAGCCUUUACAGCUUGGUUGAUAACUUCAAAUGGGUUAGUCCCAGCAUGCAUGUAGACUAGGUAAAGGCCCUGCUUAGUUUCAACAGUAUCAUCCCC
rnacentral:misc_RNA from 1 species